UCUCCGGUUGCCCUGGAGUUUUAGAAGCCAAGAAGGUGCAGAGUCUGUUCCUCAUCCCUUACGAAUUCUUGCUUCUGCCGCAGCACAGUCUUACGGAGCAGUUUCGAGGCUCUGCCGCCAGCGGCUUGAUGGACCCUCAAGAUCAUUACCUGAGCGGAAACUGAGCCAGAUGCUUAACAGACUGAGCCACCCACAUGCCCCAACUUUUAUUUUUUUUAAACGAAGAUCUUUUUUACUUGAAGAAACUUAAGGAUUUGGGCAUCCUAGGAUGUGCUGUGAGAUCGAAAGCAGUAGAAUUUUUGCCAUAGAUCAGAAGAGAGACGGUCACCCAAUGCUGCGGAAGCCCCUAGGUAGCUGAGAAGUUGGUGGAAUCUUCUUACUGGUGCAGCUUUCACUACUGCUUGUUGUUCAAGUGUGAGAUAAAGGUGAGCAGAAAAUUCUCGAGUGCACUGUUUACCUACAGCACACCGCAACUCGACUUCUGAAAGUUGAAAGAAACAGGUUUGCACAAUUGUCGUGUGUGACAUAGAAAAGACAUGUCAUAGCUUUUAUGCUAAUAAAAUGCUUUUAAAAUUA